rnacentral:rRNA from 1 species
UACGUAGGGGGCAAGCGUUUGUCCGGAAUUAUUGGGCGUAAAGAGCGUGUAGGCGGCCAGAUAAGUCCGCUGUGAAAUCUCGAGGCUCAACUUCGAGCUGUCGGUGGAAACUAUCUGGCUAGAGUCCGGAAGAGGAGAAUGGAAUUCCUGGGUGUAGCGGUGAAAUGCGCAGAUAUCAGGAAGAACACCCGUGGCGAAGGCGGUUCUCUGGGACGGUACUGACGCUGGAGACGCGAAAGCGUGGGGAGCGAACAGG